rnacentral:rRNA from 1 species
AUUGAACGCUGGCGGCAGGCUUAACACAUGCAAGUCGAACGAAGAGGUCUAGCUUGCUAGACUGAUUAGUGGCGAACGGGUGAGUAACAUUUAGGAAUCUACCUUAUAGAGGGGGAUAGCUCGGGGAAACUCGAAUUAAUACCGCAUACGACCUACGGGUGAAAGGGGGCGCAAGCUCUUGCUAUAAGAUGAGCCUAAACCAGAUUAGCUAGUUGGUGGGGUAAAGGCCUACCAAGGCGACGAUCUGUAG